UCUGUCGCGAGCUGUGAUUCUCCGAUUGGCAACUCGGGUUUCGCGUGGCCGGAAGAACGGGUAAACAGAACGACCCACACCGACGCACCAGCCCGAAAGCCACUGACUCUGGCUCUCACUGACAAUGAUGGACAGUGACCAACAGACGGGCAAAGGUGUGCUGGUGCCAGCUUGUACUGCCUGGCAAGAGCCAACUAUCAAAUUUUCGGGAAUUUUGGGGCCAGUUGUUAAACACAGCCAUUAUUUAAAAAUUGAUUGUAUAAACUUACGAUCAACUGGAUUUUAUUAAAACAAAGGUUGUGUGCCCAAGGAACAGUGAGGCAAACAAACCGAAACACUGGACUUUGGAGCAGAGAAAGGUUAAUUAGUUGAAGAGGCACCAACCUGGAAGAUGGGAGACGUAGACUCAUCUCAAAUCCAUCUUGCUGGCUGGCUGUGGGCACAAGGUUUUUGUUUUUACUGAAGUAUAGUUAAGUUACAGUAUUGUGGUACUUUCAGGUGUACAGCUAAGUGAUUCAAUUAUAUACAUAUAUGUAUAUGUGUAAUGAUUUAAAAAAUUUUUUUCCAUUAUAGUUUGUUACAAGACAUUGGAAAUAGUUCACUGUGCUAUACAGUAGGUCCUUGCUGUUUAUCUAUUUUAUAUAUAGUGGUGUGUAUCUGUUAAUCCCAUACUCCCAAUUUAUCCCUCCCCCC